rnacentral:SRP_RNA from 1 species
GCCAGGCAUAGUGGCACGUGCCUGUAAUCCAGCUAUUCAAGAGGCUGAGGCGGGAGGAGUUCUGGGGUGUAGUGUGCUGCGUCAAUCAGGUGUCCACACUAAGUCUGGCAUCGGUAGAGUGACCUCCAGGCAGUGGGGUACCACCAGGUUGCCUGAGGAGGGUGAACUGGCCCAGGUCAGAGAUGGAGCAGGUAAAAACGGUGAUGAUCAGUAGUGGACUUGUGUCUGUGAAUAGCCACUGUACCGCAGUCUUGGGAACAUAGCAAGACCCGGUCUCU